AUUUAGCAUAACCUGGUUCCGACAACAACCCUUGUUUCCCAGGUAAAAGGGUAGAAGGAAGUCAUUGUGAUAUGGUGGAAAGAGUCCUAGAGGGAAAGAAAAGAAUAUUUAGUUCUAAGCCUAUCUUAGAUAAGUCAUCUCCACCCUCUGGGUCUUGGCUUUUGAGUGAGGUUCUGUAAUAAUGAUCUGGAAGGUUCUUUCCCAGCCUCUGUAGUCUAACAGAUGCUAUCAGCUGUUUGUUUUUCUGUAUGUUUCUGAAAAUUAUUUUCUUAAAAUGUGCCCUUUUUGUCUCAUUUUAGAAUAGAAAUUAAACCCUAGUAGGGAUUCUUAAAGCCAAGAAGAUCAUGGAAAAAAUUUAAGGUAGGGAGGCUUAAAAUUUAGUCAAAUUCUUGAAACUGAAAAUUUGAGAGCUACUGAGGAAAGAUCACAUAAAAAUGCAGGCAUUUGGAAAUUCUCAGGAUGUGAUAAAUGAGUCGCCCUUAAUGUCUGUCCCAAUUGGAGGAGCAGUUUAGUUAACUUAGCAGUGCAUACUAUACAGACUCAGUAAAUACAUAGCUGUUAACUGAUUAACUUCAAUGACUAAGCAAGGAACUAGCUGAUUAGCACGGAUUCCAGCUCCAAUACCCUAUAAGGCACUUCACACCCGGAGGACACUGUGGAGCCACGGAGCCAGCUACAGUAGGAUGCAUAAUGGUCAAAAGCAUAUGCUGAGGAGUCAGAUGGACCUGUGUUGGAAUAUCAACUCUGCCACUUACUGUGGGACCUGAGGCAAGUUUCUUAUCUUUCUGAGGCUCUGUAUCUUCAACUGUAAAACAGGGAGAACAACAGCAGGUACUAUACUGAAAUGUGACUCCCCUGGCUUUCUUUUUUUGGAAAAUACCUGUGAUGAGUUCCAUGCAGGGAAAGAAAAGCUGUUGACAGGAAAAGCUUCUGACAGGGAAUGGCCUUCUUCUUCCGAGUGUUCUGAAAGGAGACAGUUGCUUCAAGCAAGAUGAGGCAGGGAGGCCAGGGCCAGGUACAAGAGGCCCCAGAACAUAAAAGGGUCACCUUUAACUAUAGAGAUGACUGAGUGUCCACAGUGUCCUCGGUGAGACCAGCACCAUGCACUGCACACAGACCUGGGCCAGGUGGACAUGCAUCUGAGCCCUUUUCUGUCUCUUACUGUGUAGUCUUGGGCAAAUUGCUUAACCGCCCAGAACAUGAGUUUUCUCAAGCUGUUGUGCAAAAUAAAAGAGAUAAUAUGCAUGUAAA